CCUUUGAAAAUCAGAAAUGUUUACUGAGGGAAACUCUGUUACUGAAGCCCAGUGGAAUGGUGACAUCAGGAGAGACCCUGCUGUCUCUGAUCUUCAAGUGCUUUGCAAGCAUGACUUUACAGAGGUAGCAAAUCCUCUGAGGGAUGGAGUCAACUGUAAAAUGACAGAAAUGACAGUGGUCAGUGAAAGAAAUCUGGGACUUCUACACUUCAGGCAUUCAGUAAGGAAGAUGAAACAAACAGCACAGGGUGAAGUCUCAGUGAGAAGACCUUCCUGUGCCACAGAGAAGGACAGGACAUUGACAGCUUUGAGUUCUCAUGAAUUUUCAGCAGUGAGUCCAUCUGGGAAUAAUUUGUUUGUGAGAAGAAGGCUUCCAUUCUAUCAAGAAAAAAGGCUGCACGGAAUUCACAAAACACUAGAGCAGAAAGUACCAGUCAUUGUUUGA
rnacentral:lncRNA from 1 species